rnacentral:rRNA from 1 species
UACGGAGGGGGCUAGCGUUGUUCGGAAUUACUGGGCGUAAAGCGCACGUAGGCGGCUUUGUAAGUUAGAGGUGAAAGCCCAGGGCUUAACUCUGGAAUUGCCUUUAAGACUGCAUCGCUAGAAUCGUGGAGAGGUGAGUGGAAUUCCGAGUGUAGAGGUGAAAUUCGUAGAUAUUCGCAAGAACACCAGUGGCGAAGGCGGCUCACUGGCCCGGAACUGACGCUGAGACGCGAAAGCGUGGGGAGCAAACAGG